rnacentral:rRNA from 1 species
AACGAACGCUGGCGGCAUGCCUAACACAUGCAAGUCGAACGAGACCUUCGGGUCUAGUGGCGCACGGGUGCGUAACGCGUGGGAACCUGCCCUUAGGUUCGGAAUAACUCCCCGAAAGGGGUGCUAAUACCGGAUAAUGUCUUCGGACCAAAGAUUUAUCGCCUUUGGAUGGGCCCGCGUUGGAUUAGCUAGUUGGUAGGGUAAAAGCCUACCAAGGCGACGAUCCAUAGCUGGUCUGAGAGGAUGAUCAGCCACACUGGGACUGAGACACGGCCCAGACAACGAGGGGGAGGAGGAGAGGAGAGUACGGCAGAGGGGAGGAAAGCGUGGUCCAGCGUGGUGGGGUGGGGUAAAAGGUCAUGGGGUUUGUAAUGCAGUUAGAGCUGGGCUGAUAACGAAAGUCCAGGGGAAAGAGGCACCGUCUACCGCCGCGACAGAAGCUGCGAUAAGAGGCGGAGGAGCAUCCGUCAGACC